rnacentral:rRNA from 1 species
UUUAUAAAGAGUUUGAUCCUGGCUCAGGACGAACGCUGGCGGCGCGCCUAACACAUGCAAGUCGAACGAGCGAGAGAGAGCUUGCUUUCUCGAGCGAGUGGCGAACGGGUGAGUAACGCGUGAGGAACCUGCCUCAAAGAGGGGGACAACAGUUGGAAACGACUGCUAAUACCGCAUAAGCCCACGGCUCGGCAUCGAGCAGAGGGAAAAGGAGCAAUCCGCUUUGAGAUGGCCUCGCGUCCGAUUAGCUAGUUGGUGAGGUAAUGGCCCACCAAGGCAACGAUCGGUAGCCGGACUGAGAGGUUGAACGGCCACAUUGGGACUGAGACACGGCCCAGACUCCUACGGGAGGCAGCAGUGGGGAAUAUUGCACAAUGGGGGAAACCCUGAUGCAGCGACGCCGCGUGGAGGAAGAAGGUCUUCGGAUUGUAAACUCCUGUUGUUGAGGAAGAUAAUGACGGUACUCAACAAGGAAGUGACGGCUAACUACGUGCCAGCAGCCGCGGUAAAACGUAGGUCACAAGCGUUGUCCGGAAUUACUGGGUGUAAAGGGAGCGCAGGCGGGAAGACAAGUUGGAAGUGAAAUCUAUGGGCUCAACCCAUAAACUGCUUUCAAAACUGUUUUUCUUGAGUAGUGCAGAGGUAGGCGGAAUUCCCGGUGUAGCGGUGGAAUGCGUAGAUAUCGGGAGGAACACCAGUGGCGAAGGCGGCCUACUGGGCACCAACUGACGCUGAGGCUCGAAAGUGUGGGUAGCAAACAGGAUUAGAUACCCUGGUAGUCCACACCGUAAACGAUGAUUACUAGGUGUUGGAGGAUUGACCCCUUCAGUGCCGCAGUUAACACAAUAAGUAAUCCACCUGGGGAGUACGACCGCAAGGUUGAAACUCAAAGGAAUUGACGGGGGCCCGCACAAGCAGUGGAGUAUGUGGUUUAAUUCGACGCAACGCGAAGAACCUUACCAAGUCUUGACAUCC